ensembl:lncRNA
AAUUAGACUUACGGCAGAGAUUAUACUGCUUUUGUAAUUGAACACAUGCUUCGCUCUGCUACUGAAUCAAAUCUUCCUUUUUCUUUUUCUCUCAGGAACACAGGGACACUUCACUGGAAGCUGUAUGGAGAGGAAAAUAUAAAGAUGCCACUGAGAGAGACUUAGACAGGCUUGAACAGUGGGCCCGAGAGAACAUCACGAGAUCCAGCAAAGCCAAGUGAAAGAUCUUGGACCUCAGUUGCAGCAACCUCCACUAUCAAUACAAGCUGGGAGAUAAAAGGAUUGAGCGCAGCCUUGCAGAAAAGGACUUGGAGGUACUGGUGGACAACAAGCAGGACAUGAGCCAGCAAAGUGCUCUUGCAGACCAGAAGGCCAACCACAUCCUGAGCUGCAUCAAAAGAAACAUGGCCAACGGGGCUAGGGAGGUGAUCCUCCCCCUCUAGUCUGUGCUGGUGAGACCUCACCUGGAGUACUGUAUGUAAAUGUGGAGUCCUCAGUACAGGAGAGACAUGGACUUGGAGCAUGUCCAGAGGAGGGCCACUAAAAUGAUCCAAGGGAUGGAACAUCUCUCCUAAGAGGACAGAUUGAGAGAGCUGGGGCUGUCCAACCUGGAGAAGAGAAGGCUCUGGGAAGAUCUGAUAGUAGCCUUUCAGUAACAAAAGAGGGGCUAUAAGAAAGAAGAAGACAGACUUCAGCAGGAUAUGUCAGGCCAGACAGGGCAUAGUGCAAGCUGAUCUAGCUGUGGAUGUCCCUGUUCAUUGCAGGGCAGUUGGACUAGGUGACCUUUAAAGAUCCCUUUCAUCUCAAACAGUUCUAUGAUUCUGUGGUUCUAUGAAUAUUCUGUAGCUCCCAGACUACCCAGAUCUUCAGUACAUUAGCAUUCAUGUACCAAAGCGUGUAAUACGGACAAGGGCAGAUGUCUUCUUCAGCAAUUUCAAGUUGGAUAUCUGCACAAACGGUGAGGCAACUUUUCUUCUCCUCUGAUGCAGCCCAGAAUAUGAAUCCACUUCAGAUGUAUUUGAUUAUUUACAAGUUAGGUAAUGAGUUCGUUUUUCGUGUCUUUUCCUAAUAGAACUUGGCUUUUCACAGAUUGAUUUCAGUUUCUGCAGCUGGAAAAAAAAAUUUUGAAAAGUUCUUCCAUCAAGAAAUGUAAUUGUAUUAAGUCAUGAAGUCAUUUAUAUUACACUGAAAUUUCAAUUUGGAGAUAAAAGGAAAG